rnacentral:lncRNA from 1 species
GCAAAGAUAGGGCCAGGAGGAGACAAGUUAAGAAGAGCAAUUCAGGGUCUUAAAAGGAGAGAAUGACUCAUAAACUGUGGGUAGGAAAAUAACACCAUUUUGAGGGAACAAAGGUAACAGGAGCGAGUCAAAAUCAAACGUGUCAUGCUGGAAGCUACCAGUCUUACCCAGAGCCUCAGCCAGGAGGAGGGUAAUUGUGUAACCAGACACUGAUCCCUCCCUCCACCUCUUGUGCGCUCGUUUCUGCUCUGACCCAGCUGCUCCAGGCAGAUGCUAUGCUAACCCAGGAAUAAGGCAUAGUUUAGCCCUGAGGACCUGGAAAGAUGUGGCCGAAAACAUGACUUUCAAAGGGGUGCAGUGGCGCACACCAACAACACCGGCCCCAGGCGGCCAAGGCGCAAGGAUGGCGAGUUCAAGUCCAGCCUGGCG